UAAUACGGAGGUCCCAAGCGUUGUUCGGAUUUACUGGGCGUAAAGGGUGCGUAGGUGGCCAGGAAAGUUUGAUGUGAAAGCUCCGAGCUCAACUCGGAAAAUGCAUUGAAUACUACUUGGCUUGAGGAUCGGAGGGGAGACUGGAAUUCUCGGUGUAGCAGUGAAAUGCGUAGAUAUCGAGAGGAACACCAGUGGCGAAGGCGAGUCUCUGGACGAUUCCUGACACUGAGGCACGAAAGCUAGGGGAGCAAACAGGAUUAGAUACCCUGGUAGUCCUAGCCGUAAACGGUGCACACUUGCUGUAGGAGGAUUCGACCCCUUCUGUGGCGGAGCAAACGCGUUAAGUGUGCCGCCUGGGGAGUACGGUCGCAAGAUUAAAACUCAAAGAAAUUGACGGGGGCCUGCACAAGCGGUGGAGUAUGUGGCUUAAUUCGAUGCAACGCGAAGAACCUUACCUGGCCUUGACAUGCAUCUCUAAGCGUGUGAAAGCACGUGACCCCUCGGGGAAUUUGCACAGGUGCUGCAUGGUUGUCGUCAGCUCGUGUCGUGAGAUGUUGGGUUAAGUCCCGCAACGAGCGCAACCCCUGUUUU
rnacentral:rRNA from 1 species